UCGGUUCUCGUUAGAUCACCGAAGUGAAGCAUCAUUGGGCGCGGUCAGUACUUGGGUGGGUGACCACCUGGGAACACCGCGUGCCGUU
rnacentral:rRNA from 1 species